rnacentral:rRNA from 1 species
UACGUAGGGCGCAAGCGUUGUCCGGAAUUAUUGGGCGUAAAGAGCUCGUAGGCGGUCUGUCGCGUCUGCUGUGAAAAUCCGGGGCUCAACCCCGGACUUGCAGUGGGUACGGGCAGACUAGAGUGUGGUAGGGGAGACUGGAAUUCCUGGUGUAGCGGUGAAAUGCGCAGAUAUCAGGAGGAACACCGAUGGCGAAGGCAGGUCUCUGGGCCACUACUGACGCUGAGAAGCGAAAGCAUGGGGAGCGAACAGG